CCAAGCAAACAUGAGGUGCUGAGUUCAAGCUCAGACACUGGAAAGAAAAAUCAAUAAAAUAAAAUGCUUCUUAUAGAUAGAAAUCAAUGCAGGCAGUUUCUGCUGGCCUAGAUUAAAGGACCCUACCCAGGGCACUUGUAAGGUGUGGUUGUUUGGAUAAGUCAGCAAUAAUACCAAAGGAACUUACUACUACAGAAGCAAGGUAAAUAAAACUGGGCUUUGACACAGAAAGCAGUUAAAACUGUCAUGGAGGCUGAUGAAGUGCUGCAUAAGAUUCAGGAGCUCCAAGGAGACAAGAUGGUCCCAGAUGAGGCCAUAUGGGUUUUAGUGGGGAGAGCAAAAGUCCCCCUGGGCAGAUCUCACAUGCUUGGGGCAGGGGAACACUGAGGCUAAGAAAGAAUAUUCUGAGAUUCUUCACCUAGAACAGAGGUACUGGUGCUCUCUAGGCCUUCUGAGUCCCUCUGAUUAAUUUUCCUCAAUCCCUACACCACACACAUAUGCCCUGAGGUUAAGUAAGGGUGCCAGAUGACCUGAGCCUGGAUCCUGAACCAGAACCCUCUAGGAGGGUUGUCCCUUACUCAAUCCCUAGGCUUCCAUUUUACCUGCUGACCUUUUACAUCUUUAGCACUGUAGGCAGUGCCUGCUAUAGAGUAGACAUACCUAACCUUCACUGUUAUAGCCCUGAGAGACAGCUGAAAGGCCUUUUUUUCUCCAUGAAUUGUAUGUACAUACUAAGCUAUUUAGUAUUCCUGAUUUCUUUUUUCUUUUUUUUUUUUUGGGGGGGGGGGUGCGGGGAAGGGUGUCAGUCGUGGAGUUUGACCUCACUGCCUGGAUGCUGUCCCUGAGCUCUUUUGCUCAAAGCUAGCUCUCUACCACUUGAAGCCACAGCUCCGCUUCCAGCUUUGUGGUGGUUAAUUAGAAAUAAGAUCUCAAGGACUUUCCUUUCUGGGGUUUGAACCUUGAUCCUCAGAUCUCAGCCUCCUGAGUAGUUAGGAUUACAGGUGUGAGCCACCAGGACCAGGCUUCUUUAAGUAUUUCUAAUCUUUCUCAAAA